GGGGAUUUAGCUCAGUGGUAGAGCACUUGCCUAGCAAGCACAAGGCCCUGGGUUCGGUCCCCAGUUCCG
rfam:Rattus norvegicus chromosome 2, whole genome shotgun sequence.